rnacentral:rRNA from 1 species
GUGAGGAAUAUUGGACAAUGGGCGCAAGCCUGAUCCAGCCAUGCCGCGUGCAGGAAGACGCAUCUAUGGUGUGUAAACUGCUUUUGUACGGGAAGAAACACUCCCUCGUGAGGGAGCUUGACGGUACCGUAAGAAUAAGGAUCGGCUAACUCCGUGCCAGCAGCCGCGGUAAUACGGAGGAUCCAAGCGUUAUCCGGAAUCAUUGGGUUUAAAGGGUCCGUAGGCGGUUUAAUAAGUCAGUGGUGAAAGCCCAUCGCUCAACGAUGGAACUGCCAUUGAUACUGUUAGACUUGAAUUACAAGGAAGUAACUAGAAUAUGUAGUGUAGCGGUGAAAUGCUUAGAUAUUACAUGGAAUACCAAUUGCGAAGGCAGGUUACUACUUGUGGAUUGACGCUGAUGGACGAAAGCGUGGGGAGCGAACAGGAUUAGAAACCCGGGUAGUCC